GACAGGAGGAUGCAAGCGUUACUCCGGAAUGAUUGGGCGUAAAGCGUCUGUAGGUGGCUUUUCAAGUCCGCCGUCAAAUCCCAGGGCUCAACCCUGGACAGGCGGUGGAAACGUACCAAGCUGGAGUACGGUAGGGGCAGAGGGAAUUUCCGGUGGAGCGGUGAAAUGCAUUGAGAUCGGAAAGAACACCAACGGCGAAAGCAGUC
rnacentral:rRNA from 1 species